GCAUGGUACUGAUUGAACGGCUCUGAGGGGUUUAUGCGCACGAGACGGUAUUGGUUUGUGUUCAAUUUGUUUCCGAGUUCUUGUGCGACGUUUGAUUGACGAAAAUGUCCUUUUUAAUUUAUCCUUAAAUGUUAUUUCUUCGUCUUCUUCGAAGACGUCUAAAUUCUGCAUGGACGUUGACAAUUUAGUCUUAGAAUAAAUUUUAAAAUUUGAAUUCAUUUCCAACUUUAAAUAAAAACUCUUUAACUCACAAAAGUCAUAAAUCAC
rnacentral:lncRNA from 1 species